GAUGAACGCUGGCGGCGUGCCUAAUACAUGCAAGUCGAGCGAACAGAUAAGGAGCUUGCUCCUUUGACGUUAGCGGCGGACGGGCGAGUAACACGUGGGUAACCUACCUAUAAGACUGGGAUAACUUCGGGAAACCGGAGCUAAUACCGGAUAAUAUUUCGAACCGCAUGGUUCGAUAGUGGAAGAUGGUUUUGCUAUCACUUAUAGAUGGACCCGCGCCGUAUUAGCUAGUUGGUAAGGUAACGGCUUACCAAGGCGACGAUACGUAGCCGACCUGAGAGGGUGAUCGGCCACACUGGAACUGAGACACGGUCCAGACUCCUACGGGAGGCAGCAGUAGGGAAUCUUCCGCAAUGGGCGAAAGCCUGACGGAGCAACGCCGCGUGAGUGAUGAAGGUCUUCGGAUCGUAAAACUCUGUUAUUAGGGAAGAACAUACGUGUAAGUAACUGUGCACGUCUUGACGGUACCUAAUCAGAAAGCCACGGCUAACUACGUG
rnacentral:rRNA from 1 species